rnacentral:rRNA from 1 species
UACGUAGGGUGCGAGCGUUAAUCGGAAUUACUGGGCGUAAAGCGUGCGCAGGCGGUUUUGUAAGCCAGAUGUGAAAUCCCCGGGCUUAACCUGGGAACUGCGUUUGUGACUGUGUGACUAGAGUACGGCAGAGGGGGGUGGAAUUCCUGGUGUAGCAGUGAAAUGCGUAGAUAUCAGGAGGAACAUCGAUGGCGAAGGCAGCCCCCUGGGCCUGUACUGACGCUCAUGCACGAAAGCGUGGGGAGCAAACAGG